GAUGAAGAACGUAGUGAAAUGCGAUAAGUAAUGUGAAUUGCAGAUUUCAGUGAAUCAUCGAAUCUUUGAACGCACCUUGCGCCUUGUGGUAUUCCACAAGGCAUGCCCGUUUGAGUAUCAUUAAAUCAUCAACUCUAAAACCUUUGUGGUUUUUUUAGAGCUUGGUCUUGAGGGUUUUGCAGGCUUUUUUUUUUUCGAGUCUGCUCCCUUUAAAUGCAUUAGCGAGACUUCCCUAUGCUGAACCGUCUCUUUGACUUGAUAAUUAUCUGCGUCGAAUUUUGGUUCUCGUUGGGCUUGCUUCUAAUCGUCUGUUAAAGACAAAACGGAUUUGGGUGCAUAUAUGCGCCUUUUUCCAAAACCUUUUUUGAUCUCAAAUCGGGUAGGACUACCCGCUGAACUUAAGCAUAUCAAUAAGCGGAGGA
rnacentral:misc_RNA from 1 species